AGUAGUUGCAUAAAGUUAUGAAAACAAACGCUGUUACACUGACUGAACUGAAGUGUCGGAACAAACAAGCUUUGCCGAAAUGUCUGUCGUGUUGUCAGUGCUUGCAGCUGCAAUAUUUUCAUAUAUACUGAUUUAUUACAGUCUGUUUAGAGGAUCCAGAUUUAAGAGCAGCGCAAAGUUAAAAGGGAAGACGGCAAUUGUUACAGGGAGUAACACAGGUAUUGGCAAAGCCACAGCUUUGGAUCUGGCCAGAAGAGGAGCCAGGGUUAUUUUGGCCUGUCGCAACCAAGAAAAAGCAGAAGCUGCUGUGUAUGACAUUAGAAGGGAGAGUGGGAACUCUGAAGUGCUGUACAUGCAUUUGGACUUGGCCAGUCUGAAGUCUGUGCGCAACUUUGCCGAAACUUUUCUUAAGAGUGAACCUCGACUCGACUUGCUUAUCAAUAAUGCAGGACUCAUUACAUGUGGCAAAACAGAAGAUGGGUUUGGCAUGGCGUUUGGGGUCAAUCACUUGGGUCAUUUUCUGCUCACCCUGUUGCUGUUGGAUCGUCUAAAGGAGGCAGAGCACAGCCGUAUAGUCAACGUGUCUGCCCUGCUUCAUCGUCUGGGCUCCGUGGAUUUCAACCUUCUCAACACACAGAAAGAUCUGGUCACCGGCCAGUCGUCCUGGCACGCGUUCAGAGCUUACUGUCACAGCAAACUGUGUAAUGUGCUCUUUACGCGAGAGCUCGCAAACUGCUUGGAGGGGACCAAUGUCACCUGCUACUGCUUGCAUCCGGGUGUGAUAGCGACUGAGAUCGGUCGGUACAUGGGACUGUGGCAAAGGCUGCUUUCCUUUCCCAUAUCAAAGCUGUUUUUCCUGGACACUGAGGCUGGAGCACAGACCACACUUUACUGUGCUUUGCAAGAGGGCCUUGAGCCUCUGAGCGGACGUUACUUCUCCUCCUGCGGACUACAGAAUGUUAGUGCUCUGGGGCGGGACGAUGCCCUGGCAAGGAAGCUGUGGGAAGACAGUGAGAGGUUGUGUGGCCUGUCGUGAGCAAGAUCAUCCAGCCUCCAGGUAUCCACAGCAUUACAGAUGCCACAUUAAGACAGUAUGUGGAAUAAUGGAUAUCUUUGUUACACCGGGCAAAAGGACUGGAUAUAUCUCUGCCUGCUCCGUGUCUUGGUUCUCAUGCACGUAAACAGCGAUUCAGCGGAGCGGCAAUGAAGUUCGGCUUACAAAGAAACGUCACAGCUAGGACAUGAAUCACAUUCGCUGCGGAGGUUACAGGAUGAUACUAAAGACAAGAGAGAAUGAACCACAAGGAUUUUCAUUAAGUCCCUGCCUGUGCUGGGUAUGAUUUUGCUCCCCAAAGACCAGUUCUGUAGUAUGGAACAUCUAUGCAUAAUAUACAGGUGGGUAACAGCGGCCCCUAUUGUGUAACAGUGAAAAGAUGGAUUGCCAGAAGUUUGCAUCAAUCCAAGCAGGCCAGCUGUCUAUGAGGUUAACCGUCAGGACAGUGCACAAUUAAACUUUCUCCCCUCCUGUGAUCUAGCCACUGCAACUGUGGCAAUUAACCUGGUUAUACACUGCAGUGUCUCUACAACCGGCACAGGGACUAGGAAAAGCCACUGGAUUUGAAGAAAGAGCCAAUUCCACAUAAUGGACCAACACAGUGUCUGAUGAAAAAAGAUCCACGUGGAUGUUGCAAGCACUUGACAUGGAAGCAAUUCAGGCGACGCGGGCUGAGGCCUGGCCGGGAUUAAAGCUCGGGUGGAGGGAUAUUAAUGUGAAGCGGAGGGGACAAGGGCGCUCCCGUCCAAUUACUCUGUACCUAGUCGCCUCCAUCCGGCCGCAAAACAACAGAGGAGGAAAGGAUUAAUUGCCUUGGACUCUGCCCCCACUACAGGCCCAAUUAUGGAAACAUAUUGGCUCCCAGUGUUGCCACAGACACUGCUGUGCUGGGAUAUUGUGUGAAAUUUCUAACCGUUUCCAGAGGUCAGGACGAGUGGACUGAAGCAGAGGCUGAGAAAAGUGGAACAGAAGCCAAUUGAGUUGCAACGUGUCCCACACCUUAACGCGUGGAGGAAAGCAAAAACUUUAUCAUUUGGGUCUGGGGAAUUGAUGUUUGCGCACCUGCAGAGCUAUGGCGAUGGCUGCCGUUCAGACACUCUCCCAGCGUUCUGCAGCUGCGGUGACUAAGCACCCUCUCCUCUUGCCCUCGCCCUCCUCCAUGCAUACCCUAAUACACCUGGCUCUUUAGCCUGCGGCAUAAAGCGAUAAUAACAGCCGUGAGUGAGGGGUGUCCGGGUGAAGGAGGGUCCCUUCUCGUAAUGGGCGAGGGCUGUCUGCUCCCAUGGACCCUCUGUUCCAGCUUCAUUGAGAUUCCAUUAGGAUGGUGAGAGUGUGCUGCCCCCCCGGUUUGGCUGACACUUGCGCGGGAUCACGACAAAUUGGCUCUGUCAUAGUGGACAAUUUUGAGAUGAGAAGUAAAUUAAACAUGUAAUCACAAAAGGAGGCGCUUUGUGAAGUUCUGGGCUCCGCGCAGCCAUCAGGGCAAUCCGUGUCACGUCGUAGCUCGUUUUCUGUCUUCAUUCCCUUCAGACUGUUUGCAGGAACCGGUGUCAGAAGCAGAAGCGGAUGGAGUGCUGCACUUGAACCCCAGUAAUGGCUUUGAAUUGUGUUCGAAACACUCCUGAAGUAUGACGUUUGAUUUCUUGGUGGAGAACUGGAUAAAGGCACUCUACUUGCAUGGUGCACGAGGACAAUAUCAAAUGUUUUGGUGCGUGCUUACAAGGUAUCCGGUAUUGCAGAACCUAUUUGGCCGCGGUAUAGUUUUUGUGUGAUUUCAAGGCCAGAUCCUAUAAUCAAUGGCUGAGCGCUGGCUUAAGCUCGCCGGAGAGCCUGCAGCAUAGCGCUGAUCGUGUUCGCGGUGAGCGGAGGAAGCAGCAGGAAAUGUUCACGGCUGGUGAAAAAUUAAGUCCCGUCGGUGUAAUUCAGCAGCUCGCUGAUAGCAUCAGGCUUCAGUUGGCUGUAUCAGGCAGGUAUUACCACCCACCGACUGUAAUCACUAAUGAAGCCGGCAGUGAGUUUAUAACGCGCUAAAUGAUGCGGUCCACUCCAGAUAAACACAUCCUAAAUAAACGAUUUGGGUGGUAAUUGCACUCUGCCAGGGCCCCGUUAAUAGAGUCAACUCGGCUGAUGAGAGGGUUAACUUCUCUUCCGAAGGAGCCUCUCACUGGCUCAUUGCACUCUCAUUUCUACGGAGAUCUUGGCAUUCCCCUGGUUAUCAGUGUACUUAAAAAGAAAACCUAAUUAGACCAAAAAAGGCCCUUUUUUCUUUUUCUCUAAUUAGGUCCUUAACAUAAUUAGCAGGUAAUGUUAAUAACCCUCUUUUAAACUCUAUUAAAAGGCUGUUGGGGAGUAAGUGGUUGAGGAGGAUGUCCUGCGCCGAGCCACGGGUCCCUCGGUGGGCGGAAGCAGGAGACCAGGAGAGGCAUGCUGGGACUUCAGUUCAUCAGAGUUGGAGUGCCACUGCAUUAUAGCUCGGGGCCCCACGGGGGCCUCCUCAUCAUCAGACUGUAGGCCCGGUGCAUUAAUAUCACCCCCUUCCCGACUUUUCAGUACCGGGCCUUCAUCGGGGCAGUCUAAAAAACAACGGCUGAUUCAAACGGAAGCCAGCAUUUCUGCUACAUUAACAAUGUAGCCGCUGCUGAAGCAUGGGUUGAAUUAGAAUCCACCAGGGGGCAUUGUGUCUUCAGUAAUGUUCGCGCAAAUUACCGUAGAGAGGACUGGGACCACUGUGGUUAAUGUGACUCCAGUGAAAUAUUUAUAUGGGUUUUGGGAAGUGCUCUAGGUUCCAGUGAGUGGUCUGUUGGCUUCGGCGAGGAGGAGGAAGAUGAGGAAGAACCUGCCGUCGACCAGAAGAGCCCAGUCCUCGUCUUUAAUUAAGUAUCUGAAACAUCAAUUUAAAUGUAAAUAUCGGUGGCGCAGCUCCACUCAUGCGUAAAUUAGAGCGUUGGCCCGGCACAUUGCGCUCUCUCUCCCAAGUCCCCGCUCACUUACUCUGACAUCUGCUCACAUCUGCUGGGCCCCGGGCUUCCCCAACGCACACACACACACACACACAACACACACACACAAAUUAAAAUCGGACUCAUUCUUGUAUCAGUCUAAGUAGUUUGCAUUUACAAAUGUUGUAUGGAACAUGUUAUUUGCUUGGACUAGACAUGUACAUAAUGUCACAGCAUAUUGUGGUUUCUCCUACUGUAGAUCAGCGCAUCUUAAUCUUUUUGACUUCAAGGCCCUCUGCAACAAUAUUUGAAACCCCCACCUCACAAUCUCUACCCAAUAAAAUGUAUAAUAUAUUGAUCACUUAUAACCAAAUUUUAUGUGGAUCAAGUCCUCAAAAGUGACAUCUGUAUUUAGCCUCAUUGUAUACGUGGCCUUAGAGGGACUUGGCUUCCUUAUUGCCGUUAUCAUGAUGACACUAGUGGUUCACCAUGGAGCUGUCUCAUAACCUGUCCCAGUGAGUAAGUAUGUACUCUGUGCAUUUUUAUAGUGUACUUCAUUACCAGUAUGGUCAAAGCAUAGUACAGGUGUAUCUUUUUAUCUCACUUUUGGGUGUUAUUGUCUGAGCAGCUAUAAGUUUUAUUUUCAGACUGAUGAAUGGUCCUGUUUUCUGUCUGGCAGGCGCACAUGGUCUUAUUUCUCAAGCCCGUUCAUUGACAUGCAUCUUUUACAUGGUUGCUGUGCAAUGUAGCUUCUCUUUAGCGUGGCGUUAGUAUUUGUCUGUACUGCAUUAUAGAAUUUGUUUAUCUGACUAAGAUUAAUGAGAAUCAACACGCUCAAGUUGCUAAAAGGUUUGUCCGUCUGGCUUGCCUGCGCAGGUUGCCAGAUCCUCUUAGAACCCGUGCCAUGACAUUUGGGCUCAAGCGUGAAGGCUGUGGAUUGGAACAGUGAGAGAGAUACAUACUCCCCCACACACAUGGUGGAAUUCCGUAAUCUGGGGUGUGAACCCAGCACAAGACAUCCAGCAAACACACCUGUCCUUAUUUGUGACAAAGAUCAACCUCCUGCCCCCCCAUAUUUGUCAUCCACUCCAUGUCCAGCCAGCAGGAGGUGAAAUCGCAUUCUCUGCGGUUUCCAAUGCUGACCUAAAUACGUCUGCUCUCUCCUGUAACAAGAGUGGAAAAAUAAAUAUGUGAUGGGACAAAAUAAGAACCGAAACCGCUAAUACUGAACACAAGGGCUUCAAGAGGAGAAGGACCAUCAUGUGCGGACAGGAGCUCUCAAGGAAUCUCCAGGACCCGUUUUUUUUUAAACGUGAAGACAACCUUCAUGAAAAGCUGUGAUUUUACAAUGUUUUAGCAAAAUGCUGAUCUCUAUUUGGGAUAAAAUUGAAAGACUUAAAGAAAUUCAAUUAAAAAGCUGGAAAGCGCAAAAAGAGGUGGAAUAAGUGGAACAUUAUAAAACUGCCAGCAAAUGGUUUCCUCAAACCCACUCGAGGGAAACCGCACAUGUCACUUAGCAAACAAAUAACUUUGCUUCUAUUUUCACUUUCAUAUCACAACUGAAUGUAUUAUUUAAUGCACGUACUUUGAUGAUUUUUUCCCCCGCUUGUUUUGCCUCAGCCGAUGUGGCGUUGGCAGAGAUUGCCUUGUUAAAGAUUAAUAAGACCGCUGGCUUGUGAUUGUUUUAAGGUUAGAGCCGGCACUGAUUCCGUCUGCUAACGCCGUGCGUGUUUAUGCAGGUGCGUAUGAGCUCGCUUACUGUCUGGAUAUUGAUCGUCUGAGUGUGUCUGCCCAAAGAGCAGUUGCUCAGUCAUCCAGCACGAGCCAGUGGAAAGGCGGCAAGGUUGAUUUGGCUGACCUCGGUCUGGUCUGUGACACCAACGGGUAUUUUGGCCAUGUCAGCAUAACCGUCCUCCAAUGUGCAGAUGUUGGACCUCAGCGUAAGUGAGCAUGUGUGGUCGCUUUAAACCCUUCAUGCUAAUCACGAUCUGGCAUUGACACUUGAUAGAGAUGUUGCGCUAACUACUAUGUCAAGACUGCACGUUACUGUAAGGGCUGUAUUCUCCGUUUGUCUCUCCGGACAUAUUUCUCCCAUUUUUAUAACGCUUCCCCAGGGAACUUAGAAUUCUGGCCGUGACCCAUAUUGACACCUUUGAGCCAUUGUGAGAAGCCUUGCUUUAUGGUUUAUGUACGCAUGUAAUGACCUCAAUUCUCCUCAUAGCAGCCCACUCGACCUCUUUCUUUUUUGUUGUUGUCAGUGAUUCAUUUUAAAAGCCAUUCUCAAUUGUACAAUUAGCAUACUAGUUCUUACUGAGGUUGUACCCUAUCACAAGUUAUUGACCAUUAAGCUGUCAAUUAACACAUUGGGGUUUCUUGCACAGCCAGGUUCUUUCUUCAUUGUCCCAGAUCAUGAAUGGGCUGAUUUAUGUCACAAUCUCAGUUUGGUGUGUUUUUAUAUGUGUGCUGUAAACUUUUAACAGCUAAUGCAUUAGCAAUAUCCCCUCUAAAUCCAUGGCAAAACUCCGGGUUGCACACACAACGUUAUCAGAUUAAUUGAGUCUCGCUGGAAAUCGCUAUACACUUGGAAAUAGCUGUACGUCCAAUUGCAGUAGUUAACACUAGAGGUUUAGAGUCUAUUUUAUCUCAAAUUUAUCUGGAGGGAAUGGGGCCGAGGUCAUCAUCAGGUGGCCGUAACCCUUUUGUGCCGGUUCUAUUGCUGUUGAAGAUAAAGCGUACAGGCUACAGUCAUCCCCUCUCCAGGCUGUAUAGACGAGGUAGGCUACGCUGUGAAUUUGCCUCAAGUGUGGGAUUGUGGUUUGAAAAACACUUGGUAAAAACCAGUUCCAUCAUCCUGCUAUAGGACAAAAAGCAUAAUUUUAGACAUUUUCAUAGCAUGUUUAACUAUCCUUGUACCCCCUCUCUAAUAUUGCAUCUAAAUUACCAUCUUAAAUGUACACGCGAUUGCCACGAGACGUCCGCCCUGGAGAUGAGCCGUCCACCCACCAGCCCUCAGGCUCUGUGGCAUUUCACGAACCCCAGCCACGUUCCCCGGCAAAUUUCCCCGGAUUAGAUUUGUAAAUCAAAAACCAAUACAUAAUAUGCACGAAUUAAUCUGUUUUAUAUACCUUGGUUACAUUUUCCUGGUGCACAUUUGGAAGAUUUAGAAUGUAUUUGCGCCUGCUGGUUUCAGCCAUUAUAUGCUUCAGUUCAUACAUCUAUUUGUGAGGCUAUAAAACAGGCAUUGACUACCCAUGUAAAUUGUGUUCUCCACAAUAAAUUAUAUGCAUAUUUGCAAAAAACACAUGACUGCUGUCGGUCCUCCCCCGUGUAUCCGGAAUACUAAUAACAGCUGGGUGAGAUGCAUAUGCUUCCUCUGUGUUUUUCUAUCACAGCGUGAUUUGGGGUUUUAAGCGCUUCGUUCCGCAUCAUCCCAUCUCCCUGUGUACAACUUCUAUAUAUUUGAAGUGAGUGAUGUUCUGACUGUAGUGGGGUGGUGGAAAAUACCAUUGACCAAAGUGAUGUCCGGCAGUCAUAUUUGUACAAUAUUUGCACUUAAACCCCCUCAGGAUAUAUUAAACCAUCAAAAUAUGACAUGAUUAAAAUAAUUUGGCAUAAAGGUUAUCAUAUUAUAUACAGUAUGUACAUUUACAUGUGUGUAAUUUUAGCCAACCCUCCUUAAAUUCUUCUCAAAACUGAAAAUAUGUUUGAAUAAAAAGCGAAGAUGUAAAUUUUCCAAAG